GGCCUGUAGCUCAGCGGUUAGAGCUGGCCGCUCAUAACGGCUAGGUCGCGGGUUCGAAUCCUGCCGGGCCCACCACCCU
rnacentral:tRNA from 1 species